rnacentral:rRNA from 1 species
AUUGAACGCUGGCGGAAUGCUUUACACAUGCAAGUCGAGCGGCAGCGCGGGGCAACCUGGCGGCGAGCGGCGAACGGGUGAGUAAUGUAUCGGAACGUAUCCUUAAGUGGGGGACAACUAGUCGAAAGACUAGCUAAUACCGCAUACGAUCGAGAGAUGAAAGUGGGGGACCGCAAGGCCUCACGCUUUUGGAGCGGCCGAUAUCCGAUUAGCUUGUUGGUGAGGUAAAGGCUUACCAAGGCUAUGAUCGGUAGCUGGUCUGAGAGGAUGAUCAGCCACACUGGGACUGAGACACGGCCCAGACUCCUACGGGAGGCAGCAGUGGGGAAUUUUGGACAAUGGGGGCAACCCUGAUCCAGCCAUUCCGCGUGAGUGAAGAAGGCCUUCGGGUUGUAAAGCUCUUUUGUCGGGACGAAACGGUUUCUACCUAAUACGUGAGACUACUGACGGUACCCGAACGAAUAAGCACCGGCUAACUACGUGCCAGCAGCCGCGGUAAAUCACGU